UGGGGAAUAUUGGACAAUGGGCGCAAGCCUGAUCCAGCAAUGCCGCGUGAGUGAUGAAGGCCUUAGGGUUGUAAAGCUCUUUCGCCCGCGACGAUGAUGACGGUAGCGGGAGAAGAAGCCCCGGCUAACUUCGUGCCAGCAGCCGCGGUAAUACGAAGGGGGCUAGCGUUGUUCGGAAUUACUGGGCGUAAAGGGCGCGCAGGCGGUCGCUCAAGUCAGGCGUGAAAGCCCCGGGCUCAACCUGGGAAUAGCGCUUGAGACUGAGCGACUUGAGUUCGGGAGAGGAGAGCGGAAUUCCCAGUGUAGAGGUGAAAUUCGUAGAUAUUGGGAAGAACACCGGUGGCGAAGGCGGCUCUCUGGACCGACACUGACGCUGAGGCGCGAAAGCGUGGGGAGCAAACAG
rnacentral:rRNA from 1 species